rnacentral:lncRNA from 1 species
AGGUUGGUGAUUUUGCUUUGGUAUAAACAGUGCUAUCAUUUCACUCUUAGUGUCUUUUAGAAAAUGACACUUAAAACAUUUUUUUCUUAGUGAAGACAAAAGUAUUUGCCAUCUCAGAGGCAGAAGAGUUACAAAUUUAUCUCUUUGUCUGAAAGUGGUCAUGUGACCAGAGGAAAAACCUCUCUAGGAUAUUUUGUCUUUUCUUUACUGAGUGCAUGAAAUAUUGUCUUAGUGAAUUUGAGGUCUCAACAAGCAGACAAACAAAGUAACUUACAAAGUAGAUUCUGAGUCAUUUCCCUUCUAAAGAAAAGAGAUUUUAUCAUUCAUAUGACAGAGAUCACAAAUGGUCACAAAAAAACAAACCAAAUAUUCAAUCAUUGCUGUCACUAAUAGUGAACAGUGCAUGAGUCAUACAAAAACUAGAAAUAAAAACAGCCUAAAGAAAUUAAAGAAACAGAAGAUCAGAAUGAAGACUCAAUGUUCAGAAAGUUCUCUUGACAUGAAAGUUUUUACAGGAGAGAGAAGUAACUUGACAUGAAGAAGCCCAGAGGAACAUUUAUUUCACAAAAUACCAGAAAUUUAAAAAAAAAAAAACCUUUGAAAUAUUUUUAAAAAAUGAAAUCUUGGGCAAGCAAAUGGCAAUAGGGCUCUGUAAACACAGCCAAUUCAACACACAUGAACUCAGAGAAAGCAAUAGCAGGCACACUACCUACUUACAUCUGCACUAGAAAGGGUCCUGGAAAAAAAGGCCACAGAAGUGGAUAGAACUCUCUCUACCCUUACCCCAAAGCCUAUUCUCUUUUAAUAACUACACACAAAUGAAAAACACGUUCUUUCUGAAAAAGUCUCACUGAGAAUACAUUCCACAUUUAUGAGCCAUUCCCAAACCUAGUCAAUGCCAAAGAACCCAAAGGCAUCUUUGGAGAUUUUGUUUUUCUCAUAAUGUUAUGUCAAGGAAAAAAAUUUUUAAUGUUCCAAGUCUUUUUCAUAUAUCUUACAACUUCUGGUUCUGUGCUUUUGUGGGAUUACUGUGUGUGUGAAUGUGUGUCUCUCAAUCUGUAUGAAUUUAUCCAGAUUUUUCUUUGGCCAUUUUGCUUUGUUUGUUUUGUUAUAUUCCUAUAAUGAUAAAUAUUUAAAAAUCAAAAAUUUUAGGAGAAAUAGAACUACAUAAAAUUUAAAUUUGGGAAAAAAACAAUCUAUACUCUAGAAUAUAUGACGAUUUUUUUCUUUCCCUGUAAUCUAUAGAAAGAAUGCAGUUUAAGAAAUCUAACACACUUUUUUUCCAAAAUGUGGAUAAUUACAAUAAAUAAUUUAUACAAAGCUAUUUAUUUACUUAUUAUUUAUGGCAUAAAACUAAUUUUAUUGUGUAGCUUUUCAGAAAUUCACUUUACAUCCCGAUUGCUGUCCCCCACCUCCAGUGUUCAUUCCACCAGUCCCUCUCCCCCUCCUAUUUUCCUCUGAGAGAAUGGAAGGCCCUUCCCCAAAUAUCCCUCCACCCUGGAACAUCAAGUCUCUGCAGAGCUGGGUGCUUCUUUUCUUACUAAGGCCAGACAAGACAGUGGAGUUAGGAGAGCAGAUUCCAUAGACAGGCACCAUCUUUAGGGAUAAAUUCUACUCUGGUUGUUCAUGACCUGCAUGUAGACUGCUACAUUUGUGUAAUGAGCACAGGAUCUAGGUCCAGCCUGUGUAUGCUCUAGGUUGGUAGUUCAUUCUCUGAGAGACCCCAAGGGUCCAGGUUAGUUGAAUCUUGUGGUCUUCUUGUACAGCUCCUAUCCCUUCAGUUCCCUCAAUCGUUCCCCAAAUUUUCCAUAAGAGUUCACAAGCUCCAUCCAAUGUUUUUAGCUGUGAGUCUCUGUAUGUGUUUGAGUCAACUCUUGGAUGUAGUUUCUCAGAGGACAGCCAUGGUAGGAUUUUUGUCUACAAACAUAACAGUAUCAUUAUCAGUGUCAGGGAUUGGUGCUUGCCCAUAGAAUAGAACUCUAAGUAGGCUGUCUAUUGCUUGGCCAUUCCCUCACUCUCUGCUCCAUCCCUGUACCCUGUAUUUUUUUGUAGGCAAGAUCAAUUUUGCAUCGAAAGUUUUGUGUGCUGGUUGGUGUCCCUAUUGCUCCACUGGGGUUCAGGCAUGGCUAUAGGAGAUAAACUCUUCAGGUUCCAUAUCCCACUGCUGAGAGUCUUUGCUAAGUUCACACCCAUUGAUUUUUGGAAGCCUCUCUUAUCCUAUAUUUCUGGCAAGUCCUCAAUAUACCUUCUUUCCAAAUCUCCUGCUACCAACUUCAACUUUCCAUUCAUUUAUUCUCAUGGCUAUCUAGUCAUCUCAACUAGGAUAAUGGGGGUCAAGCAGGGAUAUUAGGUUGCUAAAGGCAGCUAAGAGUGCCCCAGAGGACUCAGCAGGCAGGGACAAUAUGCAUGGAAAGGGAGUAUAACUGCAUGUUUCCAGAUAGGCAUGUCUGAUGAAGGUUGGCCAUUAAGUUAUUUAUCAAUUAUUACUAACAUUAAGAUAUUAUUUAUCAUGCAAUUAUAAAAUCUUAUAUUAUACAUCAUAUAGUAUAUUAUAUAAUAGUUUAAUUGAAUAAUAUUUAUUAUUAUUAUCAUUAUUCCACAAAAUAUUUUCUUUGUAUACUAUAUUCUAAUUUAUAUUUCUCCUCUAAGGCAUAUUUUUCAGGUAUCUAUUUUAUCCAUGAAGUCACUAGUAACUUUAAAUAAAAAGACUUGCUAGAAUAAGAACAAUGGCUUUAAGUAAUUUAUUGGUCCAUAAAACUGUUAAAGGUCAAGGCAGGAGACUAAACUGUGACAAUUACCAGUCUCUAAAAAUUAUUAAGGAGCCAAAGGUCAUUAGAAUGACAUAAAAAUUAAUGUCCAUUAAAGAAUAUUUGGCUUCACUUACAAUUGGAAUUCAUUUUUCUGUGAAUAAACUAUAUAUUUACAGUACUACUAUUUGAAUCACGUCUCACAUCAACACUAGUACAGAUUAAUGAUAAACAGUAAGUAAUAGGGCUUGGGCCAGCAGAUGCUUGUUGUGAGAAUAGAGUAAGAAAGAUGAGCAGUUAUACCUGUGGCUCUAUUUUACUAAGCCCUUUAGAUUUUUUUCUUCACUUUUUUUUUUUUUUAUCUUGAAUAGAAAGUAGCUUGCAUGUACUUGAUUUCAUUGGUUUUAUUUUUGUGUUUGUUGGUUUCAUUUUUCGUUGGUUUUUGUUUUGUUUUGUUUUGUCUCAAUUCUCAACUCACCUGUUUCACUUUUAUCACUAAUUUCUCUGGUCCUUUGUGGACCACUAUUUUGUGUAAUAUCUUGUAUAAUUGUAUAUGUAUGUUAUUUUAUGUAUGCAAUUUGUGCUUUAAAUCUGUUUAAGCAUAUUAAUAAAGUAUGUUUUUGAU